GAACGCUGGCGGCGUGCCUAAUACAUGCAAGUAGAACGCUGAAGAGAGGAGCUUGCUCUUCUUGGAUGAGUUGCGAACGGGUGAGUAACGCGUAGGUAACCUGCCUUGUAGCGGGGGAUAACUAUUGGAAACGAUAGCUAAUACCGCAUAACGAUGGAUGACACAUGUCAUUUAUUUGAAAGGGGCAAUUGCUCCACUACAAGAUGGACCUGCGUUGUAUUAGCUAGUAGGUGAGGUAACGGCUCACCUAGGCGACGAUACAUAGCCGACCUGAGAGGGUGAUCGGCCACACUGGGACUGAGACACGGCCCAGUCUCCUACGGGAGGCAGCAGUAGGGAAUCUUCGGCAAUGGGGGCAACCCUGACCGAGCAACGCCGCGUGAGUGAAGAAGGUUUUCGGAUCGUAAAGCUCUGUUGUAAGUCAAGAACGAGUGUGAGAGUGGAAAGUUCACACUGUGACGGUAGCUUACCAGAAAGGGACGGCUAACUACGUGCCAGCAGCCGCGGUAAUACGUAGGUCCCGAGCGUUGUCCGGAUUUAUUGGGCGUAAAGCGAGCGCAGGCGGUUUGAUAAGUCUGAAGUUAAAGGCUGUGGCUCAACCAUAGUUCGCUUUGGAAACUGUCAAACUUGAGUGCAGAAGGGGAGAGUGGAAUUCCAUGUGUAGCGGUGAGAUGCGUAGAUAUAUGGAGGAACACCGGUGGCGAAAGCGGCUCUCUGGUCUGUAACUGACGCUGAGGCUCGAAAGCGUGGGGAGCGAACAGGAUUAGAUACCCUGGUAGUCCACGCCGUAAACGAUGAGUGCUAGGUGUUGGAUCCUUUCNCGGGAUUCAGUGCCGCAGCUAACGCAUUAAGCACUCCGCCUGGGAGUAC
rnacentral:rRNA from 1 species